AUGUGUGUAACUCUACUUAUAGUGAAUUGUAAACCUCAGUGAGUCUUGUUAAAAUGGUCGAUGCUCAUCUGCAAAAAUAACGAGGUCAGUGUCUGCGUAAACUCUGAGCCAACUUCACACACAAACACACAAUUUAGGACAGUUUUUUUUUUUUUUUAACUCGUGGCUCUCUGUGAUGUCAGAGAGAAGGGAUAUCCCUAAUAUGGUCAUCUCCGACUUGCAGAAGCCCUACACACCUGAUGUCCAAGCAUGUUUGCAAAGGUCAGCCAUGCAGAAGAAAGGUGGUACAACUUGAGGUACUGCUCCAAGCCCUAGUGUAAGAUAACCUCACUUCGUGGACGUCCACCGUCGAGUUUGACCCUGUCACCCUUCCUCCUCCAAAGAGGCACAUAAAAUGACCUGCUAAAGCUACAUGGAUUCCAGUGUACUGGAACAUUUAUUGAAUCUUUUCCAGCCAUUAUCUAAGAAUGUGGGUGGUGUUCUUACAGAUCAUAACGUCAAACUCUGUUAACUGAUAUGCUAAUGCAAUGCUAAGCUGUCUAUGGUAAACAAAUUAUAGCUUCCUGCAAAACAUAGCUAUGUUGAUGUUUUUGCUGUAAGCACCUCAGCAUUUCUGAUAUUUAAAUAUAAAUUUCUGUAGCUUUAAGGGCC
ensembl:lncRNA